GAUGAACGCUAGCUACAGGCUUAACACGUGCAAGUCGAGGGGUAACGAGAGGAAAGCUUGCUUUCCUUGUCGACGACCGGCGCACGGGUGAGUAACGCGUAUCCAACCUGCCCCCAACUAGGGAAUAACCUUGCGAAAGUAAGACUAAUACCCUAUAAUUUCCUCAGAUGUCAUCUGACGAGGAAUAAAGAUUUAAUGGUUGUGGAUGGGGAUGCGUCUAAUUAGCUUGUUGGCGGGGUAACGGCCCACCAAGGCAACGAGCAGUAGGGGUUCUGAGAAGAAGGUCCCCCACAUUGGAACUGAGACACGGUCCAAGCUCCUACGGGAGGCAGCAGUGAGGAAUAUUUGUCAAUGGGCGGAAGCCUGAACCCGCCAAGUAGCGUGCAGGAUGACGGCCCUAUGGGUUGUAAACUGCUUUUAUACAGGAAUAAAGUUAGCCACGUGUGGUUAUUUGUAGGUACUGUAUGAAUAAGGACCGGCUAAUUCCGUGCCAGCAGCCGCAGUAA
rnacentral:rRNA from 1 species